UCAAAAUCCUCAUCCUCCUGGUCAUCAUCUUGUCCACCUUGAGGCCAAGCCAUCGCACUAUGGAACUCGUCCAUAGUCCACCUGUGUACUGGUGGCUGAUCAUAUAUUCCUACAAUCAUCUCGGCAGUGGCCACCUGCCCUCUGCGAAGGGACUUCAUCCUCGCCUCCAUCAUGGACAUGUACAUGUCCCUCAUCUGAAAAGGCUCAGGCUGUUAUGCCG
rnacentral:lncRNA from 1 species